rnacentral:SRP_RNA from 1 species
UAUCGGUCCCCUCGCAACGAGCGGCUGUGAACCCCGUCAGGCCCGGAAGGGAGCAGCGGCAGCAACCUCACUCGUGUGCCGGGGUGUGGCUGGUACAG